CCUACGGGUGGCAGCAGUGAGGAAUAUUGGUCAAUGGGCGCGAGCCUGAACCAGCCAAGUAGCGUGAAGGAUGACUGCCCUAUGGGUUGUAAACUUCUUUUAUAAAGGAAUAAAACGAGGCACGUGUGCCUUUUUGUAUGUACUUGAUGAAUAAGGAUCGGCUAACUCCGUGCCAGCAGCCGCGGUAAUACGGAGGAUCCGAGCGUUAUCCGGAUUUAUUGGGUUUAAAGGGAGCGUAGAUGGGUUGUUAAGUCAGUUGUGAAAGUUUGCGGCUCAACCGUAAAAUUGCAAUGGAAACUGGCAGCCUUGAGUACAGUAGAGGUAGGCGGAAUUCGUGGUGUAGCGGUGAAAUGCUUAGAUAUCACGAAGAACUCCGAUUGCGAAGGCAGCUUACUAGACUGCCACUGACAUUGAUGCUCGAAAGUGUGGGUAUCAAACAGGAUUAGAUACCCCAGUAGUC
rnacentral:rRNA from 1 species